AGUGAACGCUGGCGGUAGGCCUAACACAUGCAAGUCGAACGGCAGCACAGUAAGAGCUUGCUCUUACGGGUGGCGAGUGGCGGGUGGGUGAGGAAUACAUCGGAAUCUACUUUUUCGUGGGGGAUAACGUAGGGAAACUUACGCUAAUACCGCAUACGACGUACGGGUGAAAGCAGGGGAACUUCGGACCUUGCGCGAUUGAAUGAGCGGAUGUCGGAUUAGUUAGUUGGCGGGGUAAAGGCCCACCAAGGCGACGAUCCGUAGCUGGUCUGAGAGGAUGAUCAGCCACACUGGAACUGAGACACGGUCCAGACUCCUACGGGAGGCAGCAGUGGGGAAUAUUGGACAAUGGGCGCAAGCCUGAUCCAGCCAUACCGCGUGGGUGAAGAAGGCCUUCGGGUUGUAAAGCCCUUUUGUUGGGAAAGAAAAGCAGCAGGUUAAUACCCCGCUGUUCUGACGGUACCCAAAGAAUAAGCACCGGCUAACUUCGUG
rnacentral:rRNA from 1 species